AUCCUAACAGACAGCCCUUGCACUUCCAGACCAGUAUCAUCCGCAGCUCCCAGGACUAGCCUCUGUGACCAUGGUUCAACUUGUAUUUCUUGUGCACAUGCAACACAUCACUAGGACGUGCUGGAGGGCCAGUUGGAUCUUCUGCUGGAGUUUCUCCACCUUCACUUUCUCCUGGAGCCAAGACCGGUCUGGAAGAUCUUGCAGGGAAUUAUUUCGAUUUGAGCUGCAGAGAAGAAAAGGGAAUGAAAGAAAUAAAAAAAAUCAACAUUUUGCUGUCACAAGUCACUGUACAACACCCUCACCAUGGAUCCAUGUUGUUACAUGAAAGAGCACUGUGCUUCUAAAAACAUCUCAUCCGGUGGCUUUUGA